rnacentral:miRNA from 1 species
UUGCCUACUCCGCCCAUUCCCC